rnacentral:lncRNA from 1 species
GGACUUUGUCUUUUCCCUGACUUGCAGCUGUCAAUUGCUGAUAAUCAAUUGCUAAUAUCAUCAAUUGAUGAUACACUGAAAUAGCAGUUGAUUGUCUUCUUUGAGUUAUGGGAUAAUGAUGAUGUUGAUGUAGCGGUUGAUAAUCUUCUUUCCAAAUAGCCAUUGAUACUUUAAAUUACCGAUCGAUCUUCACUUCACUUGAAUAGAUUACAUGACUUCUCAUAUUUACAAUUAUGUCACCCUAUCUAAACAUCCGUUGAUAGAUCAACUGCUAAUCUAAAAGU